UGUGCUUCUUAUCUCAAUCUUAGGUUUCCAAAGACUUUGUGCAGCCGGGCUAUGUUAUGGGAUGCUUCUGGCAGGCAUCCGUGCACUUCAUUUUGGACAUAAUUAAUAUGAUUAAGGGAAGCUGCAUAUUCACAAUGUUCAAGCUUGGUCAACUUGCUGAGAUUACCUUUGUUUAUUAUUCCCAUAUGUUUGCUUCCAGG
rnacentral:lncRNA from 1 species